ACGCGAGGAACCUUACCAGGUCUUGACAUCCCAUUGACCGCUAUGGAGACAUAGCUUUCCCUUCGGGGACAGUGGUGACAGGUGGUGCAUGGUUGUCGUCAGCUCGUGUCGUGAGAUGUUGGGUUAAGUCCCGCAACGAGCGCAACCCUUGAUCUUAGUUGCCAGCAUUCAGUUGGGCACUCUAAGGUGACUGCCGGUGACAAACCGGAGGAAGGUGGGGAUGACGUCAAAUCAUCAUGCCCCUUAUGACCUGGGCUACACACGUGCUACAAUGGAUGGUACAAAGGGCUGCAAGACUGCGAAGUCAAGCCAAUCCCAUAAAACCAUUCUCAGUUCGGAUUGCAGGCUGCAACUCGCCUGCAUGAAGCCGGAAUCGCUAGUAAUCGCGGAUCAGCAUGCCGCGGUGAAUACGUUCCCGGGCCUUGCACACACCGCCCGU
rnacentral:rRNA from 1 species